AGUGCUGAUUCACAAAGAUUUUAUAUUUAAGAAGAUCUGAGCAUCAUUCAAAAUAACUGUUAACAUGUUUGUCAACUAAACAUGUUUUGUCAACGUUAUAAACUUCAUAGAAAUAUUUUUUUAUUUUUUAUUAAUGAUCAAGUAUAAAGAACAAUGCAUAGUGUGAAAACGCGGAUUAUAAAAAAGUAUAUAAAGUGCGAGCAGAGGAUCAAUCAAACUUGGGUUGGAAUGAUGUAGUGCAGUGCAUCCAAUGGAUCUUGGAACUCGUAGUCCGUUUACAUCUAACUUACAGCAGCAUAUCUAUGCUACAGCAGUGACAACGCCAAAGAAAAUGACUACAUUUCCCAGAAUGCACCUGCACCCACUCAUCUGCCCUCACCCUUCAGGUGCAACCGCUUCACCUAUGGGCUUGACGGGAAAAUUCAAACUCGCGAACCGUUACAGCCUGGAGGUGUCUUUGUUUGUUUGCUCAUCAACAGUAAGAGGUCAUGUACACUGUGGUCAACUUUGUGGACGCUGAAGAGGUUUCUGGGGAAAGAUGAUAGAAAUAUAAUGAAGUAACAGUGGAAGCUAAAACAUCAGACUGAUCCAGACACUGAAGAAAUUGAGGUCACUGCAAACUGGCCAAAAUGAUACAACUAUAAUGAAGUAGCCUACUGUAAUGAAGCUGCAGAACGUCACAGGGACUCUGAGGACAUCAACACACAAAAUCAAGGCUCCAAAGAGAUGUCUGUCCAGAUGAGGGUGCAUCAACAUUACCUUUGCUGACAAGUAUAUGCUUUACAAUGUAAAACCUAACAGUUAACUUAACUCAAACCAUUUAAGGAAAUUGGUUGCCUUAAACCAUUAAGUUUAAA